AUCGAAAUAACCGAAACCAUGCGCAACCGAACCGAAACCGAAUGGUUAACCGAAUGCCCAGGGCUAGUUUAGAUUAUAAUUCAGAGUCAUAUCAUUAAUAAAACUAAUAUUAAUAAAAUAAAUGACUUUUUGGCAAGACGGAUUUUGAGGGACGGGUUUUUGAAUCAACAUUAAUAAAAAAGUAAAAUAUAAUUAAUCCACCGUUUCAAUAUGGGUUAAAUCUUUAAUUUAUUAUUUUUUAAGACCACUAAUAUUAAACAUAUCAAAUCAUCCUAAUUUAGAAAAAU
rnacentral:sRNA from 1 species